rnacentral:lncRNA from 1 species
AUGCCAAGUGACGUCUUUCCCUGGGCUAUCGGUAGCGAGGAGAGCGGGCGAGCAAGCCUAAAGGAAAACGAAGCCUGGGGCAGCGCAGCCUGCCCUGCGGCACCCCGGCCGCGCGCGUGGCACCCUCGACAGCCUCGCACGGGCGCCGCGGCUGCCACGCACGGUGGGCAGCGCACGGCCUCCGUGUGCUCCUCGGGGGAAACCGUCCUCUCCCUGCUCGCUCCCCCCAAGCCCUUUAAUCGCACCCCGCUUGUUCUUAACGCCGGCCGGCUGCCGCAGCCCGAGCCCUGCCCUCCAGGGAGGCCGCGAGAACGCGGUGCUCAGGGCUCGGCGACCGCUGGGGAGCUCUUCCACCCAAAUUACCCCAUGACGAAGCAACCCGGCCGACUGCAGGGCGAUAGCCGGGCCUGGCCGGCUGCCUUCAAGGCGGCCCGCUGGCAGCAGCCUGGCCCUCAGCAGCGCCGCCGUGGCCGGUCGCCAACGGCCGCCGCGGGCCGCGCCACGCCCCCCGGCUGCCAGCGAGCGGCACCAGAGCGCCCGCUGCGGCGCUUCCGUUGGGCCGCCCGUGCGGCGGCCAUCUUGGGCUCUGGAAGUGAAGCCGCCGCCACUGAGCCAAGGAAGUGCCUCGCGCCGCCCGGCAGAGGGGGAGCCGGUUGCGGCGCGUUGCACCUGCCCCUGCGGACGCGGAGGCUGCUCCUGAGGAGUGGGGGGGUUUGCCCUGUUCUUACGCCCUCACCGCAGGGGUUCGCAUGCUUCCUCGGCAAUGAACGCGGCCAGAAGUGGCUACCGCGUCUUCUCGGCAAACUCCACGGCGGCCUGCACCGAGCUGGCAAAGAGGAUCACAGAGAUGUAGUGAUGAAAAYGGACCAGUGGUUUUCUCUAUCUUGUGUCUUUAACACCAAUUUCCGUGCUGGAAAGUCUGGAUUGCAGCUGAGGACUGUUACUUCUUGGAAGGGAGAAGUCCUCAGCGCGGAUAAUCCCCGUGAAGCUGACUGUGCUGUUUGUCCGGGAUCGCUGGUGUUGAUGGGACGGAUGGAGGGGACCACCGACGAGCUGAGCCCUCUUUGGAUGAGAGGUUGCAAAAGAUGCGUGACUGCUGCCUUUCCCCCCGUGCCACAUCCCAGCGUGUACUUUGCUGGGGAGGGCAGUUGCACCCUAAAAUAG